AGGACUACUUCAUUUCACUAAGCGUGGUUGCAGCCGAUAAUUCACAGUUAUCUGAGACCUACAGGGCAUCAACAGCAACUCUUGAGUUUAUCCACACCACUUCUUUUCCUGAGCCACGAUGCCUUGUACCUCUACAGCCUGGAGCUCAGCCCACAGCAGUCCAAAACCCACUAAAACUGUGCUAAGAAACCUGUGGCAAUGAAAGAACUGCACUUUCCCUGCCUGCUCUGAGUGAUGACCACGGUAAAAGAGUUCGCUUGGAAUAAAAGCAAGAAGCCUUUGCAAUGUUAUCGAAAGCACUGUCAAUGGGAUGGGGCAGGAUGGCUCCCAAGGCUGUGACAGACACACAGACAGCUACAGCAUGUGCUGAAACCACCCGCAGGGCUCUGGGCAGAGCCAGGAGGACAGCGUGCCAGCACACAGCGAAUGCUGUGCUACGUGGAUCUGUGCUACACCCGAGCAAGAGAAGAGACGGCUCAUCUGCCAGACCACUGCUACACUGGUCAGAGAAGCCCUGGGCAAGGUUUCUGGCAAUGGUGAAUGCACCAAGGCACCAUUUUAUAACGACUGCACAUCAGCUGUUCCUACAGUCUUACACUUAAUCUUUGUCAAAAUGCAUUGUUAGUAUAGCUGAGCAUUGUUCAGAGGAAAAGAGCAAAUUAGAAUAUUUCACAAUCCGUGCCCUAAGGAGUGCAUCAAAAUGUUGCUAUGUGAGCUAUGCCACCAUUAAAG